CUCCCGCUAUUGGAUGAGCCUAUGUCGGAUUAGCUAGUUGGUAAGGUAAUGGCUCACCAAGGCAACGAUCCGUAGCUGGUCUGAGAGGAUGAUCAGCCACAUCGGGACUGAGACACGGCCCGAACUCCUACGGGAGGCAGCAGUGGGGAAUAUUGGACAAUGGGGGCAACCCUGAUCCAGCCAUGCCGCGUGUGUGAAGAAGGCCCUCGGGUUGUAAAGCACUUUCAGCGAGGAAGAACGCCUAUCGGUUAAUACCCGUUAGGAAAGACAUCACUCGCAGAAGAAGCACCGGCUAACUCCGUGCCAGCAGCCGCGGUAAUACGGAGGGUGCAAGCGUUAAUCGGAAUUACUGGGCGUAAAGCGCGCGUAGGUGGCUUGAUAAGCCGGUUGUGAAAGCCCCGGGCUCAACCUGGGAACGGCAUCCGGAACUGUCAGGCUAGAGUGCAGGAGAGGAAGGUAGAAUUCCCGGUGUAGCGGUGAAAUGCGUAGAGAUCGGGAGGAAUACCAGUGGCGAAGGCGGCCUUCUGGACUGACACUGACACUGAGGUGCGAAAGCGUGGGUAGCAAACAGGAUUAGAUACCCUGGUAGUCCACGCCGUAAACGAUGUCGACCAGCCGUUGGGUGCCUAGAGCACUUUGUGGCGAAGUUAACGCGAUAAGUCGACCGCCUGGGGAGUACGGCCGCAAGGUUAAAACUCAAAUGAAUUGACGGGGGCCCGCACAAGCGGUGGAGCAUGUGGUUUAAUUCGAUGCAACGCGAAGAACCUUACCUACCCUUGACAUCUACAGAAGCCGGAAGAGAUUCUGGUGUGCCUUCGGGAACUGUAAGACAGGUGCUGCAUGGCUGUCGUCAGCUCGUGUUGUGAAAUGUUGGGUUAAGUCCCGUAACGAGCGCAACCCUUGUCCUUAUUUGCCAGCGAGUAAUGUCGGGAACUCUAAGGAGACUGCCGGUGACAAACCGGAGGAAGGUGGGGACGACGUCAAGUCAUCAUGGCCCUUACGGGUAGGGCUACACACGUGCUACAAUGGCCGGUACAAAGGGCUGCGAGCUCGCGAGAGUCAGCGAAUCCCUUAAAGCCGGUCUCAGUCCGGAUCGGAGUCUGCAACUCGACUCCGUGAAGUCGGAAUCGCUAGUAAUCGUGAAUCAGAAUGUCACGGUGAAUACGUUCCCGGGCCUUGUACACACCGCCCGUCACACCAUGGGAGUGGACUGCACCAGAAGUGGUUAGCCUAACG
rnacentral:rRNA from 1 species